AACAUAGAUGACAGCUUUUGAUUUUGACAUUGACAUUAACUUAAAAACCUCAAAAUAAUACAAUUCGCAAAAAUUGUUUACCGUUGUUGCUUUUUUAAACGCUAGCAUUUUAAAUCGAAAUAAAUAAAUAAGGACACAAAACCAUGGGUCGCCGUAAAUCAAAAAGAAAGCCGCCGCCAAAACGUAAGGCUAUUGAGCCGCUAGAUCAGCAAUUUAACUGCCCUUUUUGCAAUCAUGAAAAGUCAUGUGAAGUUAAAAUGGAUCGAGCGAGAAAUACGGCUAGAAUUCAAUGUCGGGUAUGCUUGGAAGACUUUCAGACUACAACAAAUGUUUUGUCCGAGCCAAUUGAUGUCUACAAUGAUUGGGUAGAUGCUUGUGAAAGCGCUAAUUAAUUUUAAGGCAAUAAAAUAAUUUUUAUGUAUAUGUUUUUAAGUUAAACCAUAUUUUAUAUUUAUAUUAAGCAAAUCCAUUCAUUAUUACUGAUGUGGCACUUUUGUAUGAAUAAAAACAAUAUCAUCACA